rnacentral:rRNA from 1 species
AUACGUAGGUGGCAAGCGUUGUCCGGAAUUAUUGGGCGUAAAGCGCAUGUAGGCGGUGCCUUAAGUCUGUCGUGAAACUGCGGGGCCUAACCCCGUAUGGCGAUGGAAACUGUGGCACUUGAGUGCAGGAGAGGAAAGGGGAACUCCCAGUGUAGCGGUGAAAUGCGUAGAUAUUGGGAAGAACACCAGUGGCGAAGGCGCCUGUCUGGCCUGUGCCGGGCGCGGAUAUUCAAAAGCCAGGGUGGCGAACGGGAUGAGAGCCCCCGGUUGUCUUGGCCGUAAACGAUGGGUACUAGGUGUGGGAGUUAUCGACCCCUUCCGUGCCGGAGGUAACGCAAUAAGUACCCCGCCUGGGGAGUACGGCCGCAAGGCUUAAACUCAAAUGAAUUGACGGGG